AGCAGUUCAAAAAAAAAGGAAGAAAAAAAAACACAAACCCCAGAGCCAGAGCCAGAUCCAGCGGAAACCCAACCCAAACCAAGCUCCGGCGCGGCCAUGGAUCCCCUGGCCGUGCUCCGGGACUACGCCGCCCGCGGCGACCUGGACAAGAUCAUCUUCAACGGCGACGACGUGCUCUUCGGCGACGACUACACCUUCCCGGCCAACGUCCCCACCGCCUUCACCUCCAAGCAGUCGGGCCGCCCCUACCCGCUCUCCGCCGCCGUCUUCCUCGCGCAGCACAACGACCUCAAGCACACCGACUUCCUCCAGGCCGCCCGCCUCCGCCGGAUCCCGCCCGUCUCCCUCCCGGACCGCAAGACCUUCCUCGACUUCCUCCACUUCGGGGACAGCUCCCUCCCCUCCGCCGAGCCCCUCCUCCCCUCCUCCUUCGCGCAGGACGCCCACCCGCCCCCGCCGCCGCCGCCCCCGGAGGAGGAGGGGGAGGACCCCGACGCCGACGAGGCCUCCACCGCCCACGUCCGCGCCCUCGAGCGGCCCCUCAAGGACCGCAACGCCGUCCUCGACGCCCGCGGCCGCGACUUCCUCGCCAUCUACCACGCCGCGCUGCGCCGCGAGGAGGACCGCCUGCGGAACAAGGACGCCGCGCCCUCCGCCACGGGCCGGCACGAGCCAUCCGCCACAGCCGCCGCCGCCCUCGCGAACCCCAAGCUUGACAAGUCGCUCGGCGACGGCUUCGUGCCCAUCAUACUGGUGCCUAGCGCGUCACAGACGCUGAUAACAAUCUACAACGUGAAGGACUUCCUGGAGGACUUCGUGUUCGUGCCCAGCAACGAGAAGAUGCGGGCCAUGAAGGGGAGCCCCAAGCCCGAGUGCGUCACCCUGCAGAAGAAGCACGUCCGCGGGGCUGGCGGUCCGGUGGCAUUCGAGGUCAGGGACAAGCCGGCCUCGCUCAAGGCCGACGACUGGGCGCGGGUCGUGGCCGUGUUUGUGCUCGGAAAGGAGUGGCAGUUCAAGGACUGGCCCUUCAAGGGUCAUGUCGACAUCUUCAACAAAGUUAUUGGGUUCUUUGUACGCUUUGAAGAUGAUAGUGUGGAUUCAGCAAAAGUGGUCAAGCAGUGGAAUGUCAAAAUCAUAUCUAUAAGCAAGAAUAAAAGGCAUCAGGACAGACCAGCUGCUCUUGAGGUGUGGGAUCGGCUGGAUGAAUUUGUGCGGGCACGCUCAUAGGGGGGGCCUAAGUGAAGAAACUAUACAUGCGACUUGCAGCUACCUUGAGCAAAUGAAAUUGAAUUUCUGCUUAAAUGAAGGAUGAAGGAAUGAGAAAAAAAAGUCGCUGUUGUGACCGAAAUACUCAAAUACCAUGUUGGGUGAUGGAAGUGGACUUAUGCUGGUUGAGAUGUCGACGAGCAGAACAAGCACCCCUAGAUCCCAGCCUCGUAUUUCAGGUGCCGGUCGACGGUGGAACGAGAUGCCAGGAACCUACCUUCCUUCUGCAUUCAUGAGGAUUUGCAUCUUAUGUGCAUUUCGGUUGCUAAGCUAUGAUGUAGUCUAUCCAAUCUGACAUAUUAACUGUAGACUGGUGACAUGGUGCUAGGCUACUUCACCCGCGGCAUUGUCGGAGAUAAGUGUCGUCAUCCUUGUGUGGAUAUUGGGGAAUUAUGGCAGGUAGGGGUUAUCCACCAAAGGAACAUUGUCUGAUUCCAUUGUUGUAACCCAUCAGGAUCUGAAACCCUAGAACAUUUUGCUUUGCUUCGAACACAUGAAGUGUAACAUUUUCACUGCAACAUGGUGUAACACGGGCGCGGCCUGAAUCUA